rnacentral:rRNA from 1 species
AUCCCUUAGAGUUUGAUCCUGUGCUCAGGACGAACGCUGGCGGCGUGCUUAACACAUGCAAGUCGAACGAAGCGCUUUAUUACGAUUUCUUCGGAAUGACGAUUUGGUGACUGAGUGGCGGACGGGUGAGUAACGCGUGGGUAACCUGCCUCAUACAGGGGGAUAACAGUUGGAAACGGCUGCUAAUACCGCAUAAGCGCACAGGGUCGCAUGACCUGGUGUGAAAAACUCCGGUGGUAUGAGAUGGACCCGCGUUGGAUUAGCUGGUUGGUGAGGUAACGGCCCACCAAGGCGACGAUCCAUAGCCGACCUGAGAGGGUGACCGGCCACAUUGGGACUGAGACACGGCCCAAACUCCUACGGGAGGCAGCAGUGGGGAAUAUUGCACAAUGGGCGAAAGCCUGAUGCAGCGACGCCGCGUGAGCGAAGAAGUAUUUCGGUAUGUAGAGCUCUAUCAGCAGGGAAGAUAAUGACGGUACCUGACUAAGCAGCACCGGCUAAAUACGUGCCAGCAGCCGCGGUAAUACGUAUGGUGCAAGCGUUAUCCGGAUUUACUGGGUGUAAAGGGAGCGCACGCGGUACGGCAAGUCUGAUGUGAAAGCCCGGGGCUCACCCCCGGUACUGCAUUGGAAACUGUCGAACUACAGUGUCGGACGGGUAACCGGAAUUCCUAGUGUACCGGUGAAAUGCGUAGAUAUUAGGAGGAACACCAGUGGCGAAGGCGGCUUACUGGACGGUAACUGACGUUGAGGCUCGAAAGCGUGGUGAGCAAACAGGAUUAGAUACCCUGGCAGUCCACGCCGUAAACGAUGAAUACUAGGUGUCGGGGAGCAUGGCUCUUCGGUGCCGUCGCAAACGCAGUAAGUAUUCCACCUGGGGAGUACGUUCGCAAGAAUGAAACUCAAAGGAAUUGACGGGGACCCGCACAAGCGGUGGAGCAUGUGGUUUAAUUCGAAGCAACGUGAAGAACCUUACCAAAUCUUGACAUCCCUCUGACCGGCUCUUAAUCGAGUCUUUCCUUCGGGACAGAGGUGACAGGUGGUGCAUGGUUGUCGUCAGCUCGUGUCGUGAGAUGUUGGGUUAAGUCCCGCAACGAGCGCAACCCCUAUCCUCAGUAGCCAGCAUUUAAGGUGGGCACUCUGGGGAGACUGCCAGGGAUAACCUGGAGGAAGGCGGGGAUGACGUCAAAUCAUCAUGCCCCUUAUGAUUUGGGCUACACACGUGCUACAAUGGCGUAAACAAAGGGAAGCGAACCUGUGAAGGCAAGCAAAUCCCAAAAAUAACGUCCCAGUUCGGACUGCAGUCUGCAACCCGACUGCACGAAGCUGGAAUCGCUAGUAAUCGCGGAUCAGAAUGCCGCGGUGAAUACGUUCCCGNGGUCUUGUACACACCGCCCGUCAAGGGCGAAUUCGUUUAAACAUACCAGGACUGUCCCCUUUAGUGAGGUAAUUCUAGCUGUGAUCUGG